GUUUUAUAAUUUUCACUUACAAUGAAAAAUACCUUAUGAGGGGCCUUCAUUAAUUAUAGUGAUUUAAUA
rnacentral:tRNA from 2 species